rnacentral:rRNA from 1 species
GUGGGGAAUAUUGGACAAUGGGCGAAAGCCUGAUCCAGCCAUGCCGCGUGUGUGAAGAAGGUCUUCGGAUUGUAAAGCACUUUAAGUUGGGAGGAAGGGCAGUAAGUUAAUACCUUGCUGUUUUGACGUUACCGACAGAAUAAGCACCGGCUAACUUCGUGCCAGCAGCCGCGGUAAUACGAAGGGUGCAAGCGUUAAUCGGAAUUACUGGGCGUAAAGCGCGCGUAGGUGGUUCAGUAAGUUGGAAGUGAAAUCCCCGGGCUCAACCUGGGAACUGCUUUCAAAACUGCUGAGCUAGAGUACGGUAGAGGGUGGUGGAAUUUCCUGUGUAGCGGUGAAAUGCGUAGAUAUAGGAAGGAACACCAGUGACGAAGGCGACUACCUGGACUGAUACUGACACUGAGGUGCGAAAGCGUGGGGAGCAAACAGGAUUAGAAACCCCGGUAGUCC